AUCUAGCUGAAUAGUCCCAAACAAGACGAAACGCGCGUCCUUGAU
rnacentral:hammerhead_ribozyme from 1 species